UCUCCGUAGGUGAACCUGCGGAGGGAUCAUUACAGAGUUCUCGCCCUCGCGGGUAGAUCUCCCACCCACUGUUAUCGUUACUGUGUUGCUUUGGCGGGCCGCCGGGCCCCGCUCGGCCGCCGGCUCCGUCUGGCGCGCGCCCGCCAGAGGCCCAGCAAACUCUGAAUGUUAGUGUCGUCUGAGUACUAUAUAAUAGCUAAAACUUUCAACAACGGAUCUCUUGGUUCUG
rnacentral:misc_RNA from 1 species